ensembl:snoRNA
AGCACUGUAUGGUAUCUGCAGCCAGUUGGUUCAUCAGCUGGAAUGUUCAUAAGUCAGUGCUAGACAAACUCAACAUCUGGCAUCGUUGGUCUCCAUGCUACCUGUGUUUGGAGUCCUGGUAUACUUGUUGAAACACACUU